rnacentral:tRNA from 1 species
UAUAAGAUAAGCUAAAUAAGCUAAUGGACUCAUAUUCCAUUGAUAGAGAAAUCUUCUUAU